rnacentral:rRNA from 1 species
CCCUUAGAUGUUCUGGGCGGCCCGCGCACUACACUGGCACUCUCAAUCAGAGCCUGGAUCUAACGCUUUGGGGUAUUCUAUGAAGUGGUGUCGUGACUGGGAUUAACCCUUGCAAUUAUUGGUUACGAACGAGGAAUUCCUUGUAAUCGCGGUUUAUCAGCCCGCGUUGAAUGCGUCCCUGCCCUUUGUACACACCGCCCGUCGCUCCUACCGAUGGAUCGUCCGGUGAAGCUCAUGGAGGGGCGGUUGUCUCAGCUGCCGUCGAAGUGAAAUGGACCUCACGAUCUAGAGGAAGGAGAAGUCGUAACA